rnacentral:rRNA from 1 species
UGGGGAAUUUUGGACAAUGGGCGAAAGCCUGAUCCAGCAAUGCCGCGUGUGUGAAGAAGGCCUUCGGGUUGUAAAGCACUUUUGUCCGGAAAGAAAUCCUUGGCUCUAAUACAGUCGGGGGAUGACGGUACCGGAAGAAUAAGCACCGGCUAACUACGUGCCAGCAGCCGCGGUAAUACGUAGGGUGCAAGCGUUAAUCGGAAUUACUGGGCGUAAAGCGUGCGCAGGCGGUUUGCUAAGACCGAUGUGAAAUCCCCGGGCUCAACCUGGGAACUGCAUUGGUGACUGGCAGGCUAGAGUAUGGCAGAGGGGGGUAGAAUUCCACGUNUAGCAGUGAAAUGCGUAGAGAUGUGGAGGAAUACCGAUGGCGAAGGCAGCCCCCUGGGCCAAUACUGACGCUCAUGCACGAAAGCGUGGGGAACAAACAGGAUUAGAUACCCUGGUAGUCCACGCCCUAAACGAUGUCAACUAGUUGUUGGGGAUUCAUUCCUUAGUAACGUAGCUAACGCGUGAAGUUGACCGCCUGGGGAGUACGGUCGCAAGAUUAAAACUCAAAUGAAUUGACGGGGUCAUAGCUGUUUCC